AUCAACUUUCGAUGGUAGGAUAGAGGCCUACCAUGGUAGUAACGGGUAACGGGGUGUUAGGGCACGACACCGGAGAGGGAGCCUGAGAAACGGCUACCACAUCCAAGGAUGGCAGCAGGCGCGCAAAUUACCCAAUCCCAACACGGGGAGGUAGUGACAAUAAAUAACAAUACGGGGCCUUUCAGGUUUCGUAAUUGGAAUGAGUACAAUUUAAAUCUCUUAACGAGGAACAAUUGGAGGGCAAGUCUGGUACCAGCAGCCGCGGUAAUUCCAGCUCCAAUAGCGCAUAUUAAAGUUGUUGCAGUUAAAAAGCUCGUAGUUGAAUUUCGGGACCAGUAGGUUGGUCGUGCCUACGGUACGUACUGGCUUCACUGGUUCCUCCCUUCUGACAAACCAUGAUGCCAUUAAUUUGGUGUUGUGGGGAAUCAGGACUGUUACUGUGAAAAAAUUAGAGUGUUUAAAGCAGGCUUAAGCUUGAAUACAUUAGCAUGGAAUAAUGAAAUAGGACGUUUGAUCUUAUUUUGUUGGUUUCUAAGAUCGACGUAAUGAUUAAUAGGGAUAGUUGGGGGCAUUAGUAUUCAAUUGUCAGAGGUGAAAUUCUUGGAUUUAUUGAAGACUAACUACUGCGAAAGCAUUUGCCAAGGAUGUUUUCAUUAAUCAAGAACGAAAGUUAGGGGAUCGAAGACGAUCAGAUACCGUCGUAGUCUUAACCAUAAACUAUGCCGACUAGGGAUCGGAUGAUGUUAAUUUUUAAUGACUCAUUCGGCGCCUUACGGGAAACCAAAGUGUUUGGGUUC
rnacentral:rRNA from 1 species